GACGAACGCUGGCGGCGUGCUUAACACAUGCAAGUCGAACGGAAAGGCUCCAGCUUGCUGGAGUACUCGAGUGGCGAACGGGUGAGUAACACGUGGGUAAUCUGCCCUGCACUCUGGGAUAAGCCUGGGAAACUGGGUCUAAUACUGGAUAUGACCUUUCUCCUUAUGGUGUUUGGUGGAAAGUUUUUCGGUGUAGGAUGAGCCCGCGGCCUAUCAGCUUGUUGGUGGGGUGAUGGCCUACCAAGGCGACGACGGGUAGCCGGCCUGAGAGGGUGAUCGGCCACAUUGGGACUGAGAUACGGCCCAGACUCCUACGGGAGGCAGCAGUGGGGAAUAUUGCACAAUGGGCGGAAGCCUGAUGCAGCGACGCCGCGCGAGGGAUGACGGCCUUCGGGUUGUAAACCUCUUUCAGCAGGGACGAAGCGUAAGUGACGGUACCUGCAGAAGAAGCACCGGCUAACUAUGUG
rnacentral:rRNA from 1 species